UACGGAGGGAGCUAGCGUUAUUCGGAAUUACUGGGCGUAAAGGGCUCGUAGGCGGCCAACUAAGUCAUACGUGAAAUCCCUCGGCUUAACCGGGGAACUGCGUCUGAUACUGGAUGGCUUGAGAUUGGGAGAGGGAUGCGGAAUUCCAGGUGUAGCGGUGAAAUGCGUAGAUAUCUGGAGGAACACCGGUGGCGAAGGCGGCAUCCUGGACCAACACUGACGCUGAGGAGCGAAAGCCAGGGGAGCAAACGGG
rnacentral:rRNA from 1 species